CCUACGGGAGGCAGCAGUGAGGAAUUUUCCGCAAUGGGCGAAAGCCUGACGGAGCAAUACCGCGUGAGGGAUGAAGGAUUUUGGUCUGUAAACCUCUUUUCUCAAGAAAGAAGUUCUGACGGUACUUGAGGAAUAAGCAUCGGCUAACUCCGUGCCAGCAGCCGCGGUAAUACGGGGGAUGCAAGCGUUAUCCGGAAUGAUUGGGCGUAAAGCGCCUGUAGAUUGUUUAUUAAGUCCGUUGUUAAAGCCUAGGGCUCAACCCUAGAAAAGCAAUGGAAACUAGUAGACUAGAGUAUGGCAGGGGUAGAGGGAAUUUCUAGUGUAGCGGUGAAAUGCGUAGAUAUUAGAAAGAACACCGGUGGCGAAAGCGCUCUACUGGACCAUUACUGACACUCAGAGGCGAAAGCUAGGGUAGCAAAAGGGAUUAGAUACCCCUGUAGUCCUAGCCGUAAACGAUGGAUACUAGAUGUUGUGCAUUAUGUACAGUAUCGUAGCUAACGCGUUAAGUAUCCCGCCUGGGGAGUACGCUCGCAAGGGUGAAACGUCAAAGGAAUUGACGGCUGNGAGUGCGAGCGACGACGAGGGAGAGG
rnacentral:rRNA from 1 species